CCUACGGGGGGCAGCAGUGGGGAAUAUUGCACAAUGGGGGAAACCCUGAUGCAGCGACGCCGCGUGAGUGAAGAAGUAUUUCGGUAUGUAAAGCUCUAUCAGCAGGGAAGAAAUAAAGUCCUUCGGACUUUGGACGGGACCAGACUAAGAAGCCCCGGCUAACUACGGGCCAGCAGCCGCCGCAAUACGUAGGGGGCUAGCGUUAUCCGGAUUUAAUGGGUGGAAAGGGAGCGUAGACGGCAGCGCAAGUCUGGAGUGAAAUCCCAUGGCUUAACCAUGGAACUGCUUUGGAAACUGUGCAGCUGGAGUGCACGAGAGGUAAGCGGAAUUCGUGGUGUAGCGGUGAAAUGCGUAGAUAUUAGGCAGAACUCCAGUGGCGAAGGCAGCAUACUGGCCUGUAACUGACGUUGAGGCUCGAAAGCGUGGGGAGCGAACAGGAUUAGAUACCCGAGUAGUC
rnacentral:rRNA from 1 species